GUUCUGAGAGUUCAAUCUGUGGUUUGAAUCUGCCAUGCACUCUUACCAUAGUAUGCUGCUUCAUCAUAGUGCCAAGCAGAAAUAAUGAGCUAGAGCAUCUAAAAUGAGAUAGCAUAUAAGAGAGAAGCACACAUGGAACAAUAGAACAUAGAUGGAAAGGAUCUAUUUCCCAAGAAAAGUAUGAUGAGAAAGUGGAUGGAUACUGGACGUAAGGAUAGGAUCUCAAACUCACAAGAAACAGCAGGAGUGGACUCAAUACUGAGCUGAAGAAAGACAGAAGAGGAACAGAGAGAAGAGGUCGAGAUCAAAGCCACAGAGGAGCAGAGCCGUGAGCUGUCUUGUGCUUUGAACACCACACACACAGAACAGAAGAGCAAGCUCUGUGAACUUAGACUCCACACUCCAAGGUGCUCCUCCUUCAAAAGCAUCAAGACAACACAGUCACAUGAAAUAUUGAACAGAAAGUUAUUUUGAGGUCCCAUGAACCUGAAAGUAUCAUAAGACAAAGUAAUAAGCAAGAUAACUUCCUUGCAGAUGAUAAAACACACCACAACCACUUUUCCAUAGAAAGAGUGUAAGUGCAAUGUGCUUUAUAGAAAUUAGCCUAAAACACUUUAAGGGCAUGAUACAUAUUAUGGAAAAGCAAUGUAAAUCAGAAUUUUGAAGAAUUUUUUUUGUUUUGGAAAAUCAUUUCAAAAAUGAUUGCACUUUUAGACAACGUAUAUAUGGUGACAUCACACUAAGUGA